GUGGCAGCGGACGAGACCUAAGCUGGUAGUUAAGCUUAGAAGUCUUCAUGCAGGCCCCCAUAUUUUGUACCCUAAAGUUCAAAGUGGGGAUACAGCCUUGACAGCUACCAAACCUGGAUAGUCAUUCAUUCUUGGCACUGGUCUGUGUCUUGGGAGAACAUCUUCUGAAUUUGCUUUGCCAGCCACUUGUAGCUCUUGGCACUCUGGUGACUACUGUUAAGAUGGGACUGGACAUGCUCCUCUGUCCUGAAGGUGAGGAAGUCCAGGAUUUCCUAUAAGACCAUGUGGAAGCACAGCGUAUGGCUGCUAUAAGGACCGUGUGCUGUGGCUGGC